CACGCAGGGUGCGAGCGUUGUCCGGAAUUAUUGGGCGUAAAGAGCUCGUAGGUGGUUUGUCGCGUUGUUCGUGAAAACUCACAGCUUAACUGUGGGCGUGCGGGCGAUACGGGCAGACUGGAGUACUGCAGGGGAGACUGGAAUUCCUGGUGUAGCGGUGAAAUGCGCAGAUAUCAGGAGGAACACCGGUGGCGAAGGCGGGUCUCUGGGCAGUAACUGACGCUGAGGAGCGAAAGCGUGGGGGGCGAACAGG
rnacentral:rRNA from 1 species